rnacentral:tRNA from 1 species
UCCCUGGUGGCUCAGAUGGUAAAGCGUCUGCCUACAAUGCAGGAGACCCAGGUUCAAUCCCUGAUUUGAGAA